UUCUUUAUUUCACUUUCUUCUAUCCAACGUGUUCUAGCGUUUCCCGACUCUUUCUCACCCCCCUAAAGCUAAACUGAUCGGAUGCGCGGUGUGUAGACGCGCGAAGUCGUUCGACGGAAUCGUCAUCUCUCAAUGAGAGCCACUCUCUCUCUCGUGUUCUGCCCGCUCUACUUUUUGCUUAUAAAUAAACGAGCCUCGCGGUUGGCGCUCUGUGACGUCGGCGGGCCACUGUGCAGAGCUGUGAACGGGAAAAUCGAAAUGAACGGAGAAGGAUAAUAAAAAGCGUAAAAUGGGGGAAAGAGGAGAUAGAAUGAUCGAAAGAGGGGGAAAAAAAAAAUAAAAGAAAAUAACAAAAAAGAUAAAAUUAAAAUAAUACAUGUGUUACAUAUUAAUACAAUGUGAUAGGAAAAUUAUAUACUUGGUGUUCCAUUUAUAAUCAAUAUAUUAUAUUAUUUUUCUAUUUUCGAUAUCGAGGAAGAGGAGAAUGUUUCUUUGAAUAUCUUUUUCAAAUUUUUGCUCGUCGAUUAUACUCGUUUUCUCAGUUCAUCUGGAAACACUAUGUGUGAGAAGGAAUUAUAUAACAAUAGGGAGAAACAAACAGAGGAAUAGAAAGGGAGAAAAACUAGCGGAGAACCGAUGAGAAAGACAUGUUGACUGCGUGGGUGACGAUUACGAGAUGAGAGGGUAAACAGAGAGAGAGAGAGAGAGAGAGAGAAUUGGAAAAUCCGCGCUUCGCGGACACAUCACGAAAAUAGAAUCCAAAGUCCGAGAUUCGCAUUCGUAUAACAAAAUAUAACGCGCGCGCGCGCGCGUAUGUGUGUACGUGUAUAUGUAUGUGUCACCGUAUGAAGGGUAUCGAAUACAGGUUUUUUUAAGUGCAUGAUGGCAUCGAGACGCCAUUGAUUUGCGGUUCUAAUAUAGAUCCGCAGAUUUGUUUAUUCAAAAAAAAAAGAAAAAAAAAAGAUCGAUUAUUUACCGCGACUUAACUUUUCAAUCUGUUUUUCUUCUAUUUUUUUUUUCUUUUUUUUUUACAUAUCGUUAUUUCUAUUCUUAUUUAUUUAUCUUUUUUUUUUUAAGAGACAGAAGGGUGGAAAGGAUGCGUGGCCUGCGAUUCGAAUCGAGAAUCGAACGGAAACCCGUAAUACACCGAAAAAAGAAAAAGAAACCGAAUCAUUCGACGACACGCUAAAAGCUUCUUAAAAUCGUACAAAGCACCAUUACAGUAAUCGUAAUCGUAGUCGUGGGUGUACGCCGGCAACAGGGACGUGGACUCGUGGGGUGCCGGGCAGGGGAGAUGCCUGGGUCAGGCGAGCUCGUUGCUGUCCGGAAAGUGGUCGCGGCAGUCGAGGCAGGCGGCCAGGUCGAGCACCAGGUGAUGAAGGGUGGGAUGCUCGAGGACCUCCGCGUCGGGCAACGGCGGAUGGCAACGGGGCCUCUGCUGCCGACCCCUGAACGACCGGUGCAGAUUCAACACCACGUCGCAGAACACGUAGCGCACCAGCAACAGUCGUAGGAAAUCGUCGCCGAAGAAUUGCAACACGCUGGUCUCUGCGUGGACCGGUAAAAGCGCUCGGAAUGUCCGCGAUAAGUUUAUCUCUCGACCUCGAUGCAGAAGAAGGGUUAAGAAACUUCUCGUUGGGAUUACGUAAGCGUUGAUAACCCUUGUACCAGAUAGAAGGGGGGAGAGGGAACCCGCUAAGGUAUCUCUCUCCCUUGGCUGAAUCUUUUCGAUUCUCCAAAUUCAACGCCAUCCAAGUCUUAUCCGCGUGAAAAACGAGCCCCUCUCUCCCUCUCUCUCUCUCUCUUUCUCUCACUAAAAUAAUCAAAUUUUUAUUAUCAAAAAAAUUUGUAAAAAGAAUUUGAAUUCAAGAGUGAAAAAGAAAAUGAUAUUUCAUUUCAUCGUAAUCUCUCUCUUUUUUUUUUUUUUAAAUAAUAUACGUAUAAUGAUACGGUUUAGAGAAAUUCGUUUUUCAUACGAGCAGAUAAGAAUAGUAGAAACUUGAAAUUAAUUAAUUAUAUCUACGAUCUGUUUUCUCAGAUAAUACCUAUAUUUGCUACGUUAUUAAUCAUUGGAUCACAGGAUCCGCCAUUUUCGUGGUUAGAUUCGUCAUUAAUUUCGGAAAAAUCGCUCACUGACGUCCGCGAUCCAAUCGAAAAAUUCUGGGCGAUGAUUCCGGAGACGUGGCCGACAAAUUUGCGUAUUACUGUUGCUGCUGUUGUUGCGUUACUACUCGAGAACCCAGUUGUUAUUUCGAAGUUUCGAAGCGAAUUAUCUCUCCAUAGAUUGGAUAGCCGGAUGGCUUGCCCGAUCGAUUUCGGUGAAACUUUCCCCGCGAAAGCGAAUUAAACGUAUCCGCGCAAAGCUUUGCUUAACGGCUAUUACAGAGAGAAAGAGAUAGACAGGGACAAAGGGAGCCACUCGUACGUUCAAAACUCGCACACGACAUAUCGCUGUCGCGGGAGGAACAAUGGAGAGCCCCUUUGUAGCCGACCCUAGAUCACGCGUCUAGGAGGCGAGAUUGCCGGUUCAGCGAUAAACACGGGUUGGAUCUAGGCCAAUUCUGUUUAUCGUUCGAACGCAAUUGUAAAUCCCUUUCACCGCGUUUCUGGCUAUCGGUGAACGAACCGAGACGAUUUUCGAUCAUCAGCGAGAAUUAUAACGCGAGACACACCGUUCUUAAGUAUUUUAAAAUAAAAAAGAAGAAAAAGAAUAAACGAAAAAAAUUACUUU